rnacentral:lncRNA from 1 species
CUGUUCUACCUGCAGUACCGUGUUUGUCUUUUUAAAAGCAGGUGUGCGGACAUGCUGUAUAUAUACCUCAUCGGGGAGCUGUUCUAACUCUUCUUUGGUCAACCGACUAAGCAGGUCUGCUUCCUCAUUUUCUUCCCGAGGUAUUCUUUGGAAUCUGACGAUAACUCCCCGACCCGUGAGCUCGGCUUCUAUAGUUUUUACUUUAUCAAGGUAGUUUUGCAUGAUGGGGUCCCUAGCCUG